UACGGGGGGGGCUAGCGUUGUCCGGAAUUAUUGGGCGUAAAGGGCGCGUAGGCGGAAUGGUAAGUCAGUGGUGAAAUCUCGAGGCUUAACUUCGAGUCUGCCUCUGAAACUGCUGUUCUUGAGUGCGGAAGAGGAAAGCGGAAUUCCCGGUGUAGCGGUGAAAUGCGUAGAUAUCGGGAAGAACACCAGUAGCGAAGGCGGCUUUCUGGUCCGUCACUGACGCUGAGGCGCGAAAGCGUGGGUAGCAAACAGG
rnacentral:rRNA from 1 species